rnacentral:rRNA from 1 species
GGUAGCAUAAUCAUUAGUUUUUUAAUUGAAAGCUGGAAUGAAUGGUUUGAUGAGAAAUAAGCUGCCUCUUUAUAAAUUUUUUAUAAUUUUAAUUUUAAGUGAAAAAGCUUAAAUUUAAUAAAAAGACGAGAAGACCCUAUAGAGUUUUAUUAUUAAAUGGUUAAGGUUUCUUUGGAAUUAAUAAUUCUUUAUUUGUUUAAUAAUUUUGUUGGGGUGAUAUAAAAAUUNAAUAAACUUUUUAUUUAUUUUAACAUUCAUGUAUGAAUUUUUGAUCCUUUAUUUAGGAUUAUCAGAUAAAAUUACCUUAGGGAUAACAGCGUAAUUUUUUUGGAAAGUUCUUAUUAAUAAAAAAGUUUGCGACCUCGAUGUUGGAUUAAAAUUUAUUUUCGGUGC